GGUCACCUACGGGGCGCAGCAGUGGGGAAUAUUGCACAAUGGGGGAAACCCUGAUGCAGCGACGCCGCGUGAGCGAUGAAGUAUUUCGGUAUGUAAAGCUCUAUCAGCAGGGAAGAAAAUGACGGUACCUGACUAAGAAGCCCCGGCUAACUACGUGCCAGCAGCCGCGGUAAUACGUAGGUGGCAAGCGUUGUCCGGAUUUACUGGGUGUAAAGGGCGUGUAGCCGGGCCGGCAAGUCAGAUGUGAAAUCCCAAGGCUCAACCUUGGAACUGCAUUUGAAACUGUUGGUCUUGAGUAUCGGAGG
rnacentral:rRNA from 1 species